GUGAGUAACACGUGGGUAACCUGCCUGUAAGACUGGGAUAACUCCGGGAAACCGGGGCUAAUACCGGAUGGUUGUUUGAACCGCAUGGUUCAAACAUAAAAGGUGGCUUCGGCUACCACUUACAGAUGGACCCGCGGCGCAUUAGCUAGUUGGUGAGGUAACGGCUCACCAAGGCAACGAUGCGUAGCCGACCUGAGAGGGUGAUCGGCCACACUGGGACUGAGACACGGCCCAGACUCCUACGGGAGGCAGCAGUAGGGAAUCUUCCGCAAUGGACGAAAGUCUGACGGAACAACGCCGCGUGAGUGAUGAAGGUUUUCGGAUCGUAAAGCUCUGUUGUUAGGGAAGAACAAGUACCGUUCGAAUAGGGCGGUACCUUGACGGUACCUAACCAGAAAGCCACGGCUAACUACGUGCCAGCAGCCGCGGUAAUACGUAGGUGGCAAGCGUUGUCCGGAAUUAUUGGGCGUAAGGGCUCGCAGGCGGUUUCUUAAGUCUGAUGUGAAAGCCCCCGGCUCAACCGGGGAGGGUCAUUGGAAACUGGGGAACUUGAGUGCAGAAGAGGAGAGUGGAAUUCCACGUGUAGCGGUGAAAUGCGUAGAGAUGUGGAGGAACACCAGUGGCGAAGGCGACUCUCUGGUCUGUAACUGACGCUGAGGAGCGAAAGCGUGGGGAGCGAACAGGAUUAGAUACCCUGGUAGUCCACGCCGUAAACGAUGAGUGCUAAGUGUUAGGGGGUUUCCGCCCCUUAGUGCUGCAGCUAACGCAUUAAGCACUCCGCCUGGGGAGUACGGUCGCAAGACUGAAACUCAAAGGAAUUGACGGGGGCCCGCACAAGCGGUGGAGCAUGUGGUUUAAUUCGAAGCAACGCGAAGAACCUUACCAGGUCUUGACAUCCUCUGACAAUCCUAGAGAUAGGACGUCCCCUUCGGGGGCAGAGUGACAGGUGGUGCAUGGUUGUCGUCAGCUCGUGUCGUGAGAUGUUGGGUUAAGUCCCGCAACGAGCGCAACCCUUGAUCUUAGUUGCCAGCAUUCAGUUGGGCACUCUAAGGUGACUGCCGGUGACAAACCGGAGGAAGGUGGGGAUGACGUCAAAUCAUCAUGCCCCUUAUGACCUGGGCUACACACGUGCUACAAUGGACAGAACAAAGGGCAGCGAAACCGCGAGGUUAAGCCAAUCCCACAAAUCUGUUCUCAGUUCGGAUCGCAGUCUGCAACUCGACUGCGUGAAGCUGGAAUCGCUAGUAAUCGCGGAUCAGCAUGCCGCGCUGAAUA
rnacentral:rRNA from 1 species